AACGAACGCUGGCGGCAGGCUUAACACAUGCAAGUCGAGCGCCCCGCAAGGGGAGCGGCAGACGGGUGAGUAACGCGUGGGAACGCACCCUUUGCUACGGAAUAGCUCCGGGAAACUGGAAUUAAUACCGUAUGUGCCCUACGGGGGAAAGAUUUAUCGGCAAAGGAUCGGCCCGCGUUGGAUUAGCUAGUUGGUGGGGUAAUGGCCUACCAAGGCGACGAUCCAUAGCUGGUCUGAGAGGAUGAUCAGCCACAUUGGGACUGAGACACGGCCCAGACUCCUACGGGAGGCAGCAGUGGGGAAUAUUGGACAAUGGGCGCAAGCCUGAUCCAGCCAUGCCGCGUGAGUGAUGAAGGCCUUAGGGUUGUAAAGCUCUUCCAGUGGGGACGAUAAUGACGGUACCCACAGAAGAAGCCCCGGCUAACUUCGUGCCAGCCGCCGCUGUAACAC
rnacentral:rRNA from 1 species